rnacentral:rRNA from 1 species
GAUCCUGGCUCAGGACGAACGCUGGCGGCGUGCUUAACACAUGCAAGUCGAACGGAGUACCCCUGAUUGAGGUUUCGGCCAAAUGAUGGGAAUGCUUAGUGGCGGACUGGUGAGUAACGCGUGAGGAACCUGCCUUUCAGAGGGGGACAACAGCUGGAAACGGCUGCUAAUACCGCAUGACACAUCGAAGGGGCAUCCCUUUGAUGUCAAAGAUUUAUCGCUGAAAGAUGGCCUCGCG